UGGGGAAUAUUGCACAAUGGGCGCAAGCCUGAUGCAGCCAUGCCGCGUGUAUGAAGAAGGCCUUCGGGUUGUAAAGUACUUUCAGCGGGGAGGAAGGGAGUAAAGUUAAUACCUUUGCUCAUUGACGUUACCCGCAGAAGAAGCACCGGCUAACUCCGUGCCAGCAGCCGCGGUAAUACGGAGGGUGCAAGCGUUAAUCGGAAUUACUGGGCGUAAAGCGCACGCAGGCGGUUUGUUAAGUCAGAUGUGAAAUCCCCGGGCUCAACCUGGGAACUGCAUCUGAUACUGGCAAGCUUGAGUCUCGUAGAGGGGGGUAGAAUUCCAGGUGUAGCGGUGAAAUGCGUAGAGAUCUGGAGGAAUACCGGUGGCGAAGGCGGCCCCCUGGACGAAGACUGACGCUCAGAUGCGAAAGCGUGGGGAGCAAACAGG
rnacentral:rRNA from 2 species